UACGUAGGGUGCAAGCGUUGUCCGGAAUUAUUGGGCGUAAAGAGCUCGUAGGCGGUUCGUCGCGUCGGCUGUGAAAACCCGGAGCUCAACUCCGGGCCUGCAGUCGAUACGGGCGGACUUGAGUGUUGCAGGGGAGACUGGAAUUCCUGGUGUAGCGGUGAAAUGCGCAGAUAUCAGGAGGAACACCGGUGGCGAAGGCGGGUCUCUGGGCAACUACUGACGCUGAGACGCGAAAGCGUGGGGAGCGAACAGG
rnacentral:rRNA from 1 species